AUGCCGGCGGGCCACGGUCUGCGGUCGCGGACGCGCGACCUGUUCGCGCGCCCGUUCCGGAAGAAGGGUUACAUCCCGCUCACCACCUACCUGCGCACCUACAAGGUCGGCGAGUACGUCGACGUCAAGGUGAACGGCGCCGUGCACAAGGGUAUGCCGCACAAGUUCUACCACGGCCGCACCGGACGCGUGUGGAACGUCACCAAGCGCGCCAUCGGCGUCGAGAUCAACAAGCAGGUUGGAAACCGCAUUAUCAGGAAAAGGAUCCAUGUCCGUGUUGAGCAUGUGCAGCCAUCCAGGUGUGCUGAGGAGUUCCGCCUGAGGAAAGUGAAGAACGACCAGCUCAAGGCGGAAGCCAAGGCGCGCGGUGAGGUCAUCAGCACCAAGAGGCAGCCACUCGGCCCUAAACCUGGGUUCAUGGUCGAGGGUACCACAAUUGAGACCGUCACUCCCAUUCCCUACGAUGUGGUCAAUGAUCUCAAGGGUGGUUACUAG
rnacentral:rRNA from 1 species